AACUUGGAUUUUUUAAAAUCCACCACACAUAUUACUUUUGGUUAAA
rfam:Picea glauca, whole genome shotgun sequence.